rnacentral:rRNA from 1 species
AACGAACGCUGGCGGCAGGCUUAACACAUGCAAGUCGAGCGCCCCGCAAGGGGAGCGGCAGACGGGUGAGUAACGCGUGGGAAUCUACCCAUCUCUACGGAAUAACGCAUGGAAACGUGUGCUAAUACCGUAUACGUCCUUCGGGAGAAAGAUUUAUCGGUGAUGGAUGAGCGCGCGUUGGAUUAGCUAGUUGGUGGGGUAAAGGCCUACCAAGGCGACGAUCCAUAGCUGGUCUGUGAGGAUGAUCAGCCACACUGGGACUGAGACACGGCCCAGACUCCUACGGGAGGCAGCAGUGGGGAAUAUUGGACAAUGGGCGCAAGCCUGAUCCAGCCAUGCCGCGUGAGUGAUGAAGGCCCUAGGGUUGUAAAGCUCUUUCACCGGUGAAGAUAAUGACGGUAACCGGAGAAGAAGCCCCGGCUAACUUCGUGCCAGCAGCCGCCGUAAAAC